UACGGAGGGUGCAAGCGUUAUUCGGAAUUACUGGGCGUAAAGCGCACGUAGGCGGCUUGGUAUGUCGGGUGUGAAAUCCCCGGGCUCAACCUGGGAACUGCAUCCGAAACUGCCUUGCUCGAGUAUGGGAGAGGGAAGUGGAAUUUCCGGUGUAGCGGUGAAAUGCGUAGAUAUCGGAAGGAACAUCAGUGGCGAAGGCGACUUCCUGGACCAAUACUGACGCUCAGGUGCGAAAGCGUGGGGAGCAAACAGG
rnacentral:rRNA from 1 species